rnacentral:rRNA from 2 species
ACGCCGGUUACGAUGUCGAUUUGGAGGUUGUGCCCUUGAGGCGUGGCUUCCGAAGCUAACGCGUUAAAUCGACCGCCUGGGGAGUACGGCCGCAAGGUUAAAACUCAAAUGAAUUGACGGGGGCCCGCACAAGCGGUGGAGCAUGUGGUUUAAUUCGAUGCAACGCGAAGAACCUUACCUACUCUUGACAUCCAGCGAAUCCUGUAGAGAUACGGGAGUGCCUUCGGGAACGCUGAGACAGGUGCUGCAUGGCUGUCGUCAGCUCGUGUUGUGAAAUGUUGGGUUAAGUCCCGCAACGAGCGCAACCCUUAUCCUUUGUUGCCAGCGGUUCGGCCGGGAACUCAAAGGAGACUGCCAGUGAUAAACUGGAGGAAGGUGGGGAUGACGUCAAGUCAUCAUGGCCCUUACGAGUAGGGCUACACACGUGCUACAAUGGCGUAUACAAAGAGAAGCGAACUCGCGAGAGCAAGCGGACCUCAUAAAGUACGUCGUAGUCCGGAUUGGAGUCUGCAACUCGACUCCAUGAAGUCGGAAUCGCUAGUAAUCGUGGAUCAGAAUGCCACGGUGAAUACGUUCCCGGGCCUUGUACACACCGCCCGUCACACCAUGGGAGUGGGUUGCAAAAGAAGUAGGUAGCUUAACCUUCGGGAGGGCGCUUACCACUUUGUGAUUCAUGACUGGGGUGAAGUCGUACAAAGGUAACACAGAUAA